UUUCCGUAGGUGAACCUGCGGAAGGAUCAUUAGCGAUUUAACACGGGCGUCGAUGCGCGAGCGUCUUCGCCCCAAACACAAACACCUGUGAACAGACCGACGGUCGUCCCUCGGGGCUUCCGUCGAAUCUUUGCAACUGUCGUACUAUGUCAUGAAAGUGAAAACAAAAGAAAAAUAACGCUCAACGAUGGAGCGCUUGGCUCUCGCAUCGAUGAAGAACGCAGC
rnacentral:misc_RNA from 1 species